rnacentral:misc_RNA from 1 species
AAAUUUCAAAUGUUUGAAAUUGAAUUAAAGGGAAAUUCUUUCGGAUUCUGAUGAGGACAUUGAACAAUUGGUUAUCAUUUAUUUAAAUGCAUAAUACAGGCCCUUAGUUAACACGGCGACAAUUCUUCCUAAUUUCACCAUCAAAACCAGUCAGAGGAUUGAUGUUUCCCAUCUUGACCAUUGACUUGGCAAAUUGAUGAAAGAAGAGGCCCUCAUCCUCAGCAUAGCUUCUAACCAAUUCCAUAGCGUCCCCAAUGUUCCCUGUGAAAAGCACUACGUCGGAAAUGAGAAGCCCUUUACCACUCAGAAUGAGCUUGAAGUAGCUGUUGUCAAAUUUUACAGGAGAGGAAAAGUCCAAGGGGGAGAUGUUAUUGUCACCACCUGAUCUUGGGCAAACUGACUUCAACCCUAAGUAGUAGGUUUUCUCUAGAGUCUCAUCAGGUUGGUUUUGCCCAUUUUGAUUGUACAGCCUCUGCUUGAAGGUCACACAUCUUGCCACCCCAAUUGUAUGGCCUCCUGAGAGUGCAACAAGAUCAACCUUAUUAAGGCUCUGACGCUUGAAAAAUUUUAUCAGGUUUUGGAUGGUGGAGUUGGGUGGUGGAAUGUUGGUGUUAGCGCCACUGAGACUUGCAGCCCUGGAGUCUCUUCUUCCAAGUGGAAGCUCCCAAUAAGGUCCGCCAGUUAGUACAGUGGAGCCACGAGCGGCCAAGGCAAGAAUAUCAGCACAUGAGACAAUCUGAGGGCAUGCUUCUUCUAACUUGGUCUUGAUUUCAUCAAUCACUUCAAAUCCUCUAAUGGAGUUCCUGUUUGGUGCAGAAUUCUUUUCACUCACUAUUGUUGCACUAUCGUCCAACAACACUGACGCAUCACAGCCCUGCACAAAGCAAUCAUGAAAAUGAAGCCUUAGCAAUGACGCAGCCAUCCUAGGCUCCUUUGCAAUCGCCUUCUUCAGGACAGACAUGACAACUUCAUUGGCUUGAGGGCAUGAAAACUGAUAAAAUUCAGGAAACAGACCAAAAGAGCCACCGCCUGCAGGGCCAGUACCACCCCAGCUAAAGAAACCAGGGUAAGCUAGGGAGCUAGUGAAUGAUAGAACACUCAUUACAAUGAAACCGAAAGUAACCUUCGGGAGAGCCAUUGAUAAUAGAACUCCAGGAGCAACUCUUGUCCAUGGACUGAUUGGUUAUUCAACUGAUAUUUAUAUCGAUGAAGCUAACUACUCUCCCUCCAAAUCCUUCUAAAGAACCUAAUAUGUGGAUUGGUACGACCAUCUCCACUACGUCUUUAAACCUCUUCUGGCAUAGAAAUGCUACGGACAUGCAUGUGCAACUGUGCCUGCUUCAAUGAAUUAGGUUGCAAAAGUGUUUCUGGUAUCAACUGCUCCAAAAUCAUUUCCUCGCAUCUUCAUCUCAGCGGGGCUUCGAUUUAGUUAUGAACUUAACUCGUAUUAACCACUAAAUCAUUUUUUUUAACAUUUAUACCUAAUGUUCAGAUAAUAUAGCAUGUCGUAGCCUAACAAGUUCGCCCACUCGUACAAACAUAUAGCCAGAAAAUUUUUUUUUGCCAGCCUUUCAAUAAAUUGUUGCCAUGGCUUCAAUCUCUCUGACUAUCGAGUUUCAGAACCAUCCAAGUAAAGAAGGUUCCCUCUUUAUCUUCACCUACUUGCUUUUUCUCUUUUCGUCCCGCGAGUCCCUGACAGAUCUUGAUUUAAACCGACUCUAUAAUGCACAAGCUCCCUGGCUCAACCCAACACCAUAUUUCUGAUACUCAUACGUGAUGUGAAGCAACUCUGGGCUCAACUGUCUAACAGGUACAAUCCACAAUAACACACAAAGGUCUGAUUACUGAGCAUAAAAACAUACACUCAUCAAUACAAUCAGGAUGGAUAUCUUUAUCUUUGACACAAUUGCUAAAUACACACACACACACAUGGAAGAGAGAAAACAAUUAUAUCAUAUCAAAGUAUGGCAAGUAUUCAAAUUUUGUUACAUCUUGGAGGACCUAUGCUAUGUGCCUAUGUACAAAAGCCUUCUGCUUUCGGAUAAUGCAGUGAGAGCCGUCUCAAACAAUCAUUGAUUCUCUCCUCUCCCUCUCUUAUAUAUAUAUAUAUAAGAG